AAAAUUUAGUUAAAUCAUAACAUUAGCCUGUCAUGCUAGAAUUGAGGAUUCUCAAUUUUUA
rnacentral:tRNA from 1 species